rnacentral:lncRNA from 1 species
AGUGGUCGUGCCAUGAAAAGCGGAAUUUUUGCGUUCGAGAAGGCAGAUGCACCUGCAAAGCUGGCAUUACGGCUCAGUGCAAGCACGCAGCUGCGGUGUGCACUUACGUCAACAAUAAACAAGUAAAUUCAUGCACCAGCCAGCCCCAGAAAUGGGGCAAGCCAAGUGGAAAGCCAAAGAGACGCCUAGAACAAGAUGUCUCGGACCUCUUCCCAAAUGGCAUGAGGAAUGACAAGUUCGAAUCAGCAGCACCAGAGCACAUGCCAUCCGCACAAAAAAGGAUGAUGAAGGACUAGAGAGAGCUGCCAAACAGCUUUGCAGGAGAUCGUCAUACACGAGUGCUGCAAUGCGUUAUGGCAUCAAGACAGAAGCCACAGCACGAGACGAGCUCCAGCAAAAGCUUGGUAUCCGCAUAGUGCAGGCAGGACUCAUCGUGCUUCCAGAGCAGCCGUGGUUGUGCUGCAGCCCAGAUGGCCUUGCGAAAAUGGGCGGUGAAACUGUGCUUAUCGAAAUUAAGUGCACAUACAAGUACAAACAGGAACCUUUCAUCAAAUACGAAGAAAGACUAAGCUUGCUUCCCUAUUUAGAGUUCAGUGGGGGCCUGAUUAUUCUCAAAACGACGCACAGCUAUUAUACACAAAUUCAGGUACAAAUGUACGUCCUGAAUUUGCACAGGGCUCUUCUUUAUGUGUACAGUCCCAAGCACUCUGUAAUAGUGCAUGUAAAUCGGGACGAUGCUUUUCUUUGGGACCUUAUACCCAAGUUGGAACGUUUUUAUUUCAAAUUUUUUAUUCCGUCGUUGUUGUAAGUUUCUGUGCUUUCUUUUGUGAACUGGUGCAUGAUAUCUUUUUGAAAUUGAACUUGCGCAUUUGUAAAAACUAAAUUCUUUUGUAUAUUUGAUUUGACAAUUAUUGUGUAGUGAAACCAACUUUUGCAUCUUGUAUUUAAGCAUGAGGUUAUAUGUGUAUUUGAGCGGUGUACUAGCCCCAUUAAACA